rnacentral:rRNA from 1 species
CACGUAGGGGGCAAGCGUUGUCCGGAUUUAUUGGGCGUAAAGAGCUCGUAGGUGGUUCGGUAAGUCGGGUGUGAAACCUCCAGGCUCAACCUGGAGACGCCACCCGAUACUGCUGUGACUGGAGUCCGGUAGGGGAGCGUGGAAUUCCUGGUGUAGCGGUGAAAUGCGCAGAUAUCAGGAGGAACACCAGCGGCGAAGGCGGCGCUCUGGGCCGAUACUGACGCUGAGGCACGAAAGCGUGGGGAGCAAACAGG